AGGUCAGUACUCUGCAGAGUUUUCCUUGCCUCCAGUGAAGAGUUUUUCAACUUUGUCCAUAGCGUUGUGAGUUUUAAGGGGGGGGGGGGGGGGGGGGGGGGGGGGGGGGGGGGGGGGGGGGGGGGGGGGGGGGGGGGGGGGGGGGGGGGGGGGGGGGGGGGGGGGGGGGGGGGGGGGGGGGGGGGGGGGGGGGGGGGGGGGGGGGGGGGGGGGGGGGGGGGGGGGGGGGGGGGGGGGGGGGGGGGGGGGGGGGGGGGGGGGGGGGGGGGGGGGGGGGGGGGGGGGGGGGGGGGGGGGGGGGGGGGGGGGGGGGGGGGGGGGGGGGGGGGGGGGGGGGGGGGGGGGGGGGGGGGGGGGGGGGGGGGGGGGGGGGGGGGGGGGGGGGGGGGGGGGGGGGGGGGGGGGGGGGGGGGGGGGGGGGGGGGGGGGGGGGGGGGGGGGGGGGGGGGGGGGGGGGGGGGGGGGGGGGGGGGGGGGGGGGGGGGGGGGGGGGGGGGGGGGGGGGGGGGGGGGGGGGGGGGGGGGGGGGGGGGGGGGGGGGGGGGGGGGGGGGGGGGGGGGGGGGGGGGGGGGGGGGGGGGGGGGGGGGGGGGGGGGGGGGGGGGGGGGGGGGGGGGGGGGGGGGGGGGGGGGGGGGGGGGGGGGGGGGGGGGGGGGGGGGGGGGGGGGGGGGGGGGGGGGGGGGGGGGGGGGGGGGGGGGGGGGGGGGGGGGGGGGGGGGGGGGGGGGGGGGGGGGGGGGGGGGGGGGGGGGGGGGGGGGGGGGGGGGGGGGGGGGGGGGGGGGGGGGGGGGGGGGGGGGGGGGGGGGGGGGGGGGGGGGGGGGGGGGGGGGGGGGGGGGGGGGGGGGGGGGGGGGGGGGGGGGGGGGGGGGGGGGGGGGGGGGGGGGGGGGGGGGGGGGGGGGGGGGGGGGGGGGGGGGGGGGGGGGGGGGGGGGGGGGGGGGGGGGGGGGGGGGGGGGGGGGGGGGGGGGGGGGGGGGGGGGGGGGGGGGGGGGGGGGGGGGGGGGGGGGGGGGGGGGGGGGGGGGGGGGGGGGGGGGGGGGGGGGGGGGGGGGGGGGGGGGGGGGGGGGGGGGGGGGGGGGGGGGGGGGGGGGGGGGGGGGGGGGGGGGGGGGGGGGGGGGGGGGGGGGGGGGGGGGGGGGGGGGGGGGGGGGGGGGGGGGGGGGGGGGGGGGGGGGGGGGGGGGGGGGGGGGGGGGGGGGGGGGGGGGGGGGGGGGGGGGGGGGGGGGGGGGGGGGGGGGGGGGGGGGGGGGGGGGGGGGGGGGGGGGGGGGGGGGGGGGGGGGGGGGGGGGGGGGGGGGGGGGGGGGGGGGGUGCUGUGCUGCUCACUGAAUUCUGUCCAUGCUAAUUGGUGGGAGGAAAUAUUGGCAUCAGCUCCCCCUCUAGUCCCUGCAGUUGGAGUUCCCAGCCUCCCCUGUUCAGGAAGCCCUCACACAGAGAGGACAAUCUGUACUCAUGGGUCCCAGGCUUCCUUCAGAACCCUGCCUUCACCCUGCCUGUGUCCAAGCCAUUGGCCCACCUGGCAGCUCAGGGCUCUUAUGUUUUAUCUCAGGAGCUCUAGCUGGGUUUGA
ensembl:lncRNA